UCGCCACCCUACCAUCGCAGAUCCAUCAUAUUCCAGCAUUCAACCGAAACUCAAAUCAGAGGAAAAGGAAAAACAGAUCUGAAGAGCAUCGAACCAAAAACAGAUCGCUAACCUCGGAGUGUUCAUCAUUACAUGAACCAGCUUCUGUGUCGUUGUUUCCAUCCUCGAACUCAUGUUGCAUUAACCAUCAGUCGGCCGCGGGCCGUGCCGUGCCGUGCCAGACAAACGCCGCGCGCUGGAGGUGACAUUGACGGUCGCGGUACUUGAGGAAGCCCAGCGCUGCGCGAGCAGAGCGCACGGACAUGACAACGUGUCGAGCCACGAUAGGUUCCGGCCCGCGUUCGGCGUCGGUUAGCGCGCUGCAGUUGCUCAGGGAGGCGAGCCAGAUCAUGUGGGGCAGCAAAGUCAGUGGGCAACGUGUCGGCAGGGGGCUCCGUCCUGUGAGUUGGCCACGUGCAUUCGUUCAGAGAGGGUGACGCCGUCGCUUCGCGAAUGGCGAGCGGGCGGAUUUUCGGGCCUGGGCCCGCGUUGAGUGGCCCAACAGAAAAGGAGAUCAUGUCUUUUCAAAUAAAUAUUCUAAUUAUAUAUUCCACGUCGGCAAUGACAUGGUUCCAAA